rnacentral:lncRNA from 10 species
GGAGUGUCACUCAGACUGGAAUGCGGUGGUGUCAUCUUGGCUCAUUGCAACCUCUGCUUCCCAGGUUCAAGCGAUUCUCCUGCCUUAGCCUCCCAAGUAGCUGGGAUUACAGGCGCCCAACACCAUGCCUGGCUGAUUUUUGUAUUUUUAGUAGAGACAGGGUUUCACCAUUCAGACCACGCUGGUGUCGAACUCCUGACCUCAAAUGAUCUACCCACCUCAGCCUCCCAGAGUGCUGGCAUUACAGGUGUGAGCCACCGUGCCCAGCCUAUACUUGCUUUAUUGUAGUGGUCUGGAACUGAACCUACAAUAUCUCCAAGGUAUGUCUGUACGUAACAUCAGAAAGUUGCAUGGGACAUUUGAUGAUUCUACAUGGGAGAGAAGGUGAUAGGAAGUAAACUGUUGGUGGCAGGAGAAUGGAGGUACUGGGUUCAGGUAAGCACUUGUGUGGCAUUUCACCUCCCCCAACAGUAGAAAGUCUGGCUUAUUCCUCUGACCUUUAUGAACAAGACAUUCCUAUGUCCUUAGACGUUCUUUACUAUGACUUCUACAACAACCUGGGCAUCAUAUGGAAGGUGAGUGACCUUAUGUAUGAUAACUAACAGUGUUAUGAAUUUGGGCUCAACAGACUUUCUUGAGAUCUUUGAGAACUUGCCCUUGCCUGCCGUUGUGCCACAUGCUAUGAAUCCUCUGCCUUCAAAUAGCUUAAAAUAUAUUUGGGGAGGAAACAGAGAGCAUGGGACACUGGCUGGAGGGGAACUUCACAGAAUCAUCCCGCCCUUCAGAUGAAAGAAGCAGAUGAAGACCUAAGGCCCUCAAUGAAAAAGAGUAUAUUUUCUAAAGAAGAAAACUGAACCCAAGUGGAAAGAAUCAGAUACAAGAAGCAUUGGAAUCUUAAUCAAAAACAACAUGACAAUAAAUGUGCAAAACAAGGGUUGGGGCAGUGGUCUCAGGGAUUUGUUUCACUUUUCCACACACUUAGGGGCAGGGGAUGGUUUGGGGAUGAAACUGCUCCACCUCAGAUCAUCAGAGAUUAGAUUCUUAUAAGAAGCGUGUAGCCUACAUCCCUCACAUGUACAGUUCACAAUAAGGCUCAAGCUCCUAUGAGAAUGGAAUGCUGCUGCUGAUCUGACAGGAGGCAGAGCUCGGGCAGUAAUGCGAGUGAUGAGAAGCGGGUGUCAAUACAGAUGAAGCUUCUGACUGCUGCUCACCUCCUGCCCUGUGGCCCAGUUCCUAAUAGGCCAUGAACCAGUACCAAUCCAUGGCCUGGGGCUGGGGGAUCCCUGAGUUAGGGGACUUGGAGGGCUUUUAUGGAAAGAAAUAGUUGAAAUGCAUACACUUUGACCUUCAAGAGACUCUGUACUAUGUGAGGCUGGAUGUGAGCCUGGCUCUAGCAGAGGGCUCCUUUGGUGACUAAGUGUAAAGUAAAGAUGUUAAGGCGGAUGCUUAAUCCUCUGACCCUGCUGCACUUUUUUCUUAGAACUUCUCAUUACCUGGCAUGGUACUGGUUCAUGCCAGUACUGUGCUUUAUUUGUUUCUUGACUUUCUCUCCUAUUAUAAUGUCCAUGAGGAGUUGGACAUGUUGGUGAAUGCCUGUAACCCCAGUUACUUGGGAGGCAGAGGUGGGAGGAUUGCCUGAGCCCAGGAGUUGGAGGCUGGAGUAAACAAUGAUUGUACUGCUGCACUCCAGCCUGGGCAACAGAGCAAUACCCUGUCUCUAAGAAAUAAGUAAAUAAA